UUGCCAUAGAAACCCGUGGGUCAGCACACAGACUCAGACAUAGAGAAGCUAACGCUGUAGAGGCGUGUUUCAGUGGUUUUCUUCCUCAAGUCGAGGUGAGUUCAUCAAAGAGCAGAUCUGACUGUCGGAUGCGUUCAACCACGCAACAGGAGGCGUGUCUUUUCAAGCUCUCCCGUCAGGAAAGAAGACGACUGCCUGCCACGGAGUCUGACUCAGAUUUAUCUCCACCAUGACCUCAGAAAGAGUUCCAAACAACCGUCAGGACUGAGGCUGUCUCGCCUGUUUGCACUUGGAGGAAAUGGCCCACGGAAAACCUGUGGCCACUUUUCAAAAUAUUUAACCAGCGGUGGAAUGAGUGAUUGUACCGUUGGGGUUGACGAUUAAAAUGACUCUUCCUUGUGUGACGCUC